UUUCAGAUCUUUCCAUGUCUUGGGAUCUUCCGGCAGUCACCGAAACAAAUCGGAGAUGGCUACGUAACAAACUUCUACUCCAUGCAGACCAUGCGCCAAAUUAAACAGUUGAGAAAGGGACUGAAAGAUGUGAUGAUAUGGCCCCUGCUGACAUAUAGGCCAGAUGUUGUCCCACUUCUUUUCCCCAAAAUGGCUGAAAUGCAGUUCACACCCCAGAUGGUCCUAGAAAAAAAUCACAUGGCCAGUUGAGGACAGUGAUGAUGAAGACUUUGACUUAGACUCCACCUGCCGCAUCACUGGCUUUCUAAGGAUGUUCAUUGAAACAGCUUUAUCAGGUACCCUGGCCCAGCUGCUGACAUUCUGGGUUGGCUAGGAGAUGCUUCCUCCUGAACUGAGAGUGGAGAUUUCUGGGGGGACCCUUCCUACGUCCUCCACAUGCUUUGAAACACUAAAGCUGCCAGCUCAUUUCAAAAUCUACAUGGAUUUUGAGAAAGCACCUGUCACUGCCAUAAAAAGUACUGGAUUUGGGCUUGUUUAAGUUUUUUC